GAUGAAGAACGCAGCGAAAUGCGAUACGUAAUGUGAAUUGCAGAAUUCAGUGAAUCAUCGAAUCUUUGAACGCAUAUUGCGCUCUCUGGUAUUCCGGAGAGCAUGCUUGUUUGAGUAUCAGUAAACACCUCAACUUCCAUAUCUUUUUUGAAAUGGGAGUUGGACUUGAGUGAUCCCAACGCUUUUCCUCACCGAAAAGUGGCGGGUUACUUGAAAUGCAGGUGCAGCUGGACUUUUCUCUGAGCUAUAAGCAUAUCUAUUUAGUCUGCCUAAAAAACAGAUUAUUACCUUUGCUGCAGCUAACAUAAAGGAGAUUAGUUCUUGUGCUGACUGAUGCAGGAUUCACAUAGACAGCUUCGGCCGACUUUGUAAACUCGAUCUCAAAUCAAGUAAGACUACCCGCUGAACUUAAGCAUAUCAAUAAGCGGAGGA
rnacentral:misc_RNA from 1 species